UGGGGAAUAUUGCGCAAUGGAGGAAACUCUGACGCAGCGACGCCGCGUGGGUGAUGAAGGCCUUCGGGUUGUAAAGCCCUGUCGGCUGGGAAAAAGGUAGUCGUGCUAAUACCACGAUUGCUUGAUGGUACCAGCAAAGGAAGCACCGGCUAACCCUGUGCCAGCAGCCGCGGUAAUACAGGGGGUGCUAGCGUUGUUCGGAAUUACUGGGCGUAAAGGGCGCGUAGGCGGCUCAACAAGUCAGAUGUGAAAUCCCGGGGCUUAACUCCGAAAGUGCAUUUGAAACUGUUAAGCUAGAGUGCAGUAGAGGUUGGUGGAAUUCCCAGUGUAGAGGUGAAAUUCGUAGAUAUUGGGAGGAACACCGGUGGCGAAGGCGGCCAACUGGGCUGCAACUGACGCUGAGGCGCGAAAGCGUGGGGAUCAAACAGGAUUAGAUACCCCCGUAGUCC
rnacentral:rRNA from 1 species